rnacentral:rRNA from 1 species
UGGGGAUUCUUCCGCAAUGGGCGAGAGCCUGACGGAGCAAUACCGCGUGAGGGAGGAAGGCUCUUGGGUUGUAAACCUCUUUUCUCAGGGAAGAACACAAUGACGGUACCUGAGGAAUAAGCAUCGGCUAACUCCGUGCCAGCAGCCGCGGUAAUACGGAGGAUGCAAGCGUUAUCCGGAAUGAUUGGGCGUAAAGCGUCCGCAGGUGGCUGUGUAAGUCUGCUGUUAAAGAGUCUGGCUCAACCAGAUAAAGGCAGUGGAAACUACAUGGCUAGAGUGCGUUCGGGGCAGAGGGAAUUCCUGGUGUAGCGGUGAAAUGCGUAGAGAUCAGGAAGAACACCGGUGGCGAAAGCGCUCUGCUAGGCCGCAACUGACACUGAGGGACGAAAGCUAGGGGAGCGAAAGGGAUUAGAUACCCCUGUAGUC